rnacentral:lncRNA from 1 species
AUUCUCUGCAGCUGGGCUCCUUCUGUCUCAGAGCUGGGAAUACAAUCUUCAGGCAAAUGACUGGAAAGCCCCCUUCAGGCCCCUAACAUCUCCCAGCAGUAAGUAUGAGCACUAAGUGUGUGCAUUCAGCCACACUAGGAUACAGCAGAGCUGCAUGUACCCCAGGACUCAGCCAGUUUCCUACAGGAGCAUAGAAGAAAGUACCACUAAAGGAGAGCAAGGAGAAGGAAGAGGAAGAGGGCAGCAAUUGGCAAGGCUUGAGGGUAAGAGUAGGAGGAGUGAAGACAGGAGUAGUACCAGCUAUGGAUGGAGGACGUAUGUGAGGAGGGGAGAGGGGAGAUGGUCAUGGAGCCAGUAAUGAAGAGACUAAGUCCAUUCUCAGGCAAACGGCACAGCCUCAGUAUGAACAUGAAGAAAGUGCACUUUCACUGUUGCAGUAGUCUUAGAAAACAAAUAUUUCUGCAUGGUGACACGGUUCUUACUGGAACCCCAGAACAUCUCCAUGGUAUGACCUACCACAUUUCCUCCCCACCAAAAUAAUAAUAAUAAUAAUAAUAAGGCUACCAAGUAUCUGGAAUUUCUUGCUCAUUAAAAUCUGAUUACUACCACACUCAAAAGCAUCUGGGUCUUUCUUUGGUCCUUACUAAAAACAAAGGCUUUGCUUUGAACAUUUCUCCAGGCAAGUCCCAUCUGCUCCCGCAGAACAAGAAUUUAAUGAAGAAGGAAGUGUUACUAAACCUUUGUGCUUUGGACCACAGAACUUUAGAAUUAGAAAAAGCAGCAAAAGAUCUACUUUUUU